UGGGGAAUAUUGGGCAAUGGGCGAAAGCCUGACCCAGCAACGCCGCGUGAGGGAAGAAGGCCUUCGGGUUGUAAACCUCUGUCCUUGGUGACGAGAAAAAUGACGGUAGCCAAGGAGGAAGCCCCGGCUAACUACGUGCCAGCAGCCGCGGUAAUACGUAGGGGGCGAGCGUUGUCCGGAAUUACUGGGCGUAAAGGGUGCGUAGGUGGCCUUUUAAGUUGGAUGUGAAAUCCCCGGGCUUAACUUGGGUGGUGCAUCUAAUACUGGAGGGCUAGAGUGCAGGAGAGGGAAGCGGAAUUCCUAGUGUAGCGGUGAAAUGCGUAGAUAUUAGGAGGAACACCAGUGGCGAAGGCGGCUUUCUGGGCUGUAACUGACACUGAGGCACGAAAGCGUGGGGAGCAAGCAG
rnacentral:rRNA from 1 species